GAAAGAUCAAAACCAGGACGGCUCCCGUGAGGGGUUUAGUGCAAAGAAGAAAAGUCCUCCAUAUCCGAAUUAUGAUCCCCAGAUACGAGAAGUAGAGGAAGUCCUGCCAUCUAUCCCAAGAUUACCAACGACCAGGGAACCCAAAUCGACCGGGACUCCGGUCUUUCCAUGCGACCAGUGCGUACGGUGUAUCUGCAGAACGGAAAGUGGGACUUCCCCAUUCCAGCCAUCCGAGUGAGGUAGUGUAUGUUUAUUCCUUGCAGGCCUCAAAUCUCAUGCUACCUUUGAUAGGGGAAAACUGACUGAACAGUUUUCCCUAAUGGUGUGCCUAAAUGUAAGUCGAGUGCGGUAGCCUGUUCAAUACGAUGCCGAUUAUACCAUAACUUAUACCUGCAAUAACUGGGGUUCACCCAUUAGCAGUACAACCUCCAGGAGUAUAUCCAAUAGGGAGGUAUAGGGGCACCAACAAAGUGGCCAAACCUAGGAACUGUAGCAGAGAGCCAGUUCUGAACAGCCCAUACCCUGUCCAACAGGGCAUCCGGGAAACAUGUAAAUAAGGUGCAAAAAUCUCCCCCAGUAAUACCUUAGUGAAUAUGUCCCGAGUGGGGAUAGAGUGGUAUAGAUCCAGCAGACCAUUAUAGGAGUUGUAACGGUGCAGAACCAUUCGAAACCUGUAAUACCCUGUCCGAUCAGGUGGUACCUAUAUAACGAAAAUAAAUAGUAGCACCGUCGUUGGAUCGAAUGGAGGGGUUCUUACUUUUACCCCGUCUCUACGAAGCAGUGUCUCCUAGACCUACCGGUGAGAUAGUCAUCGCCCUUCUUGCAAGGGCUGUAGCAUCCGUGUCCAAAAAUCUGGUAUGUAGCACAGACCUCCAUAUUGAGAUGAAUGCAGGAGGGAUGCCCCUCUACGAAGGCAUCGGCUUCAGCCUCGGGCUGAGGUUAUGGGAGGGCCGCACCCUCUUACAUUACGAACCUGAGUCCAUAUCAGGCUCAGACUGACUGCAUGCGAGGUGCUCGCCCCUUAAAAAUACCCACGAUGGGCUGAGGUCCUAAGAGGGGUCUCCCUCUAACCAUGAAUCACCCCCUGUCUCAGUCAUAUGAGAGGUGGACUCAAACCGGGAGUGGACAAUACUCAUAGUAGUCGGAGUAAUAAUUCAACCUAUGGCCGUGUCCGUGAAUCUAAUAAUGGAGACCGGCUGAGAAAACUGCAAUAGUUAGAAAAUUACGGAAUCUACAG